UACGUAGGGGGCGAGCGUUGUCCGGAUUUAUUGGGCGUAAAGAGCGUGUAGGCGGCCAGGUAGGUCUGCUGUGAAAACUCGAGGCUCAACCUCGAGACGUCGGCGGAAACCAUCUGGCUAGAGUCCGGAAGAGGAGAGUGGAAUUCCUGGUGUAGCGGUGAAAUGCGUAGAGAUCCGGAAGAACACCGGUGGCGAAGGCGGCCUGCUGGGCAGUAGCUGACGCUGAUGCGCGACAGCGUGGGGAGCAAACAGG
rnacentral:rRNA from 1 species